rnacentral:rRNA from 1 species
CUCAGAACGAACGCUGGCGGCGUGCCUAACACAUGCAAGUCGAACGAGAAAGCUCUUCGGAGUGAGUAGAGUGGCGAACGGGUGAGUAAUACAUAGGAACGUACCUGUGCGUGGGGAAUAACUUUUGGAAACGAAAGCUAAUACCGCAUGUCUCGCAAGAGAAAAGAUGGCCUCUUCUUGAAAGCUAUCGCGCACAGAUCGGCCUAUGCCCCAUUAGCUUGUUGAUAGGGUAAUGGCCUACCAAGGCUACGAUGGGUAGCUGGCCUGAGAGGAUGAUCAGCCACACUGGGACUGAGACACGGCCCAGACUCCUACGGGAGGCAGCAGUGAGGAAUAUUGCACAAUGGGCGCAAGCCUGAUGCAGCAACGCCGCGUGAGUGAAGAAGGCUCUUGGGUCGUAAAGCUCUUUCAGCUGGGAAGAAAAUUUACUGUAAAAAUAUUGCAGUAAGAUGACGGUACCAGAAGAAGAAGCACCGGCUAAUUCCGUGCCAGCAGCCGCGGUAAUACGGAAGGUGCGAGCGUUGUUCGGAAUGACUGGGCGUAAAGAGCGCGUAGGCGGUCCUGUAUGUCGAUUGUGAAAGCCCUGGGCUUAACCUAGGAAUUGCAGUCGAAACUGCAGGUCUUGAAUGCUUGAGAGGGUGGUAGAAUUCCAGGUGUAGAAGUGAUAUUCGUAGAUAUCUGGAGGAACACCAGAGGCGAAAGCAGCCACCUGGCAAUGCAUUGACGCUGAGGCGCGAAAGCGUGGGGAGCAAACAGGAUUAGAUACCCUGGUAGUCCACGCCAUAAACGAUGGAUACUAGAUGUCUGGAGUGUUAACCCUCUGGGUAUCGGAGCUAACGUAUUAAGUAUCCCGCAUGGGGAGUACGGUCGCAAGGCU